rnacentral:lncRNA from 1 species
AUGUCUCCAGAGCUGCUGACUGUCAUCGUGGCUUCAGUGUCCUGUGUAGCGUUUUGUGUAGUGAUCUUGAUGAUGGUGGUGGUCUUCUACAGAAAGGAUCCUCUCUGCUGCAGAUUCAGACCCUACACGACAGAAAACUACACAGAUGAUUCUCCACAUUACCACAGCAGGCACUCUCUGAUCGGCAUCCCCCACAAUGAGCACCGUGCUGCCAUGAGCCAGGCAGCUGUUGGCCCACAGCUUCCUGGGGGGCUGUUUAUAAUAGGGAAGCCAAAUAACUACCACCUGAGCGACGCCCUGCCCAGGCUGCCUUCCUACGAGAGCGUCCGCAAGAAAGACCGGCAGAGGCAGAUCCACACUAUGAUCUCACAGCGGUUCGGCCUCAGUGGCUGCAGCGAUGAGCCUCCACCAACAUAUGAAGAAACACUUCGCCAGUCGCUUGAUAUUUCACCCGUACACGUGCACUCUCUGGAUGUUCACCUGUCAGUCUACACCCAAGACCACUCCUCAUACCUCAGUGAGGAAGACACACACAACCCCAAUCAACCAUCCACAUCACUCCAGGGGCCGUCUUCCUCCCGAUGCCCAGCGCAGAGCUCCAGGUUCCUGUCCAUCUGA